AAUAAUAGUAAUAGUAAUAGUAGUAGUGUAGUAGUAGUAAUAGUAGUAGUAGUAGUGGUAGUAAUAAUAGUAAUAGUAGUAGUGGUAGUAGUAGUAAUAGUAGUAGUAGUAGUGGUAGUAAUAGUAAUAGUAGUAGUAGUAGUAAUAGUAAUAUAGUAGUGGUAGUAGUAGUAGUAGUAGUAGUAGUAAUAGUAUUAGUAGUAGUAAUAGUAGUAGUAAUGGUAGUAAUUAUAAUAGUAGUAGUAAUAGUAGUAGUAGUAGUAGUAGUAAUAGUAAUAGUAGUAGUAGUAGUAAUAGUAGUAGUAAGUAAUAAUAGUAGUCAUAGUAGUAAAUAACAAAUAGCAGUAGGUCGCACCACAACAAUUAUUUGCUCUCGCACAAAUGCUCCCAAAUGUAUUUUGAGGUUGCACAGAUUAAAUUUCAGGAGCAUAUGAAACCAAAAUGGUCGCAAUUUCGAGCCUUGCCUGUGAUGGACUGGCGUCCCACCUGAGGUGAAUUCUCCCGCCUUUUGCCCAGUGUUACCGGGACAGACUCAGAGACGCUGAUCUUUUAAAAUGUUAUCAUUAAUACAGUUACAUCAGAGCUGUUUUGUUAAUAUUUUUGAAUAAUACUAUUUUUUUUUUAGAUUGAUAUUUUGAGUGGGCGGGGGGCCCUGUGGCCCUGUGUGUGCGGAGUUUGCAUGUUCUCCCCGUGCUGCGGGGGUUUCCUCCAGGUACUCUGGUUUCCUCCCCCAGUCCAAAGACAUGCAUGGUAGGCUGAUUGGCAUGUCCAAAGUGUCCGUAGUGUAUGAAUGGGUGUGUGAGUGUGUAUGUGAUUGUGCCCUACGAUGGAUUAGCACCCCGUCCAGGGUGUACCCUGCCUUGUGCCCGAUGCUUCCUGGGAUAGACUCCAGGUUUCCCCGUGACCCUGAAAGGAUAAAGCGGUAUAGAAGAUGGAUGGAUGGAUUGUUAUUUUGAAACUGUUUUCUUAAUGAUUUGAUAACACUGUGCUGCAUUAAGUUCUAAAACAGACAAAUGUGCACUGAAUUAAAUCAUAUUAUAAAUCAAACUGACUAGAUUGGAGGGAGAGCGAGGGAGAGAGAGGGAGAGAGAGAGAGAAAGAGUGUGGGGGAGAGAGAGAGAGAGAGAGAGAGUGGGGGACAGAGAGAAAGCGAAUGGGGGAGAGAGAGAGAGCAAGAGAGAGAGUGGGGAAGAGAGAGAGAGAGUGGGGAGACAGAGACAGUGAGAGUGGGGGACAGAGAGAGAGAGUGGGGA
ensembl:lncRNA